CUUGUUCCGCUUGGCCUCGGCCGGUGCAUGCUAAACAGGUGUCGCUGAAGAAGGAACUCAAGAGGAGUGGCGUGGUUUCAGCGGUUUUGGACUGUGCGCGGAAAAGCAAGAGUUGGUCUGUCGUCGAUAGAAGUCUGGUCCGUGUCCCAGAAGUAAUGACAGAGGCGUGAUGGAUUCAACGAAUCAGUUUAAAGAAGGCCGGCCGGUCAGCGCGUCCGGAGAUUGCGCGACUCCGGUGGGCGCUGCCAACAAGACCCUGGGCUCGCUCGGACCCCUGGCACGGUCCACGCCGCUCGCCGCGUCGACGGUCAAAGGCCCUGAGGCCAGUGGCGAGGAGCCUCGUCUUUCAGACACACAGAGCACCACUUCCUUGUCACCUAAGCAGUCUAAUUGUGACUUCUCUAAGGGGGAUGUCAUGGCUGGCGACUCGACGCAGAUGUCUGCGAAACUUGCCAAGAGGGAAUCCUACAAGGCACAGCGCAAGCACUACCGGUGUGAGAAGAAGCGGGUCGCCAUGGAGCUGUCCAGCACACUUACGGACCCGUCGAUCAUUGUGCUGGCUGACUGGCUCAAGGUGCGGGGCAGCCUCAAGGGCUGGACCAAGCUGUGGUGCGUGCUCAAGCCAGGGUUGCUGCUCCUCUACAAGAGCCCGAAGAUCGCCAAGAGUAGCCAAUGGGUCGGGACCGUCCUGUUGAAUGCAUGCGAGCUGAUAGAGCGACCUUCCAAGAAGGACGGAUUCUGCUUCAAGAUCUUUCAUCCACUUGAGCAAUCCAUCUGGGCAUCACGGGGUCCCCGGAAUGAGGCAAUAGGUGCCCUGGUACAGCCUUUGCCAGUGAGCCACCUAAUCUUCCGGGCACCCUCCGAGGCGGCGGGCAAAUGCUGGAUGGACGCUCUGGAGCUUUCACUUCGCUGCUCCUCACUGCUGCUGCGUUCCAUGACCUCUGGGCAUUUGCGUAGCAACAGCGGUGGUGGAACCGGGCUAGGCAACACCCGUGACUCCACAUCAUCGGCGGGAGGCAUCGGUGGGGUGGAAGCCGAGCUCUCGCACAUAGUGAGCACUCCCACCACUGCCACCUCACAGCAGCGGCACUGGAACGAGAGUGACCUCGAGAACCACUUCAAGGACCAAGACCUGGGAGACGAUGCCCCCACGGACGACCAGCGCGACGGCACCCAGAGCUUGCGUUCGAGCGACACUGACUCCGAGGAGGAAGAGCACCAACGGCUGACAGAGGACAGUGGAGAGGCAGAGGAAGUUGAGGAGGAACCAGAGACACCGUAUCAGGAAGAGAGCAAUGAGGAACUUGGAGAGGCGGGUGAUGCAGGCCAGACAGAGGAGGUUGCGGAGGAAAAUCGCAGCCUCAUCUGGGCCCUGGUGAAGCAGGUUCGGCCAGGCAUGGACCUGUCCAAAGUGGUGCUGCCCACCUUCAUCCUUGAGCCGCGGUCUUUCCUCGACAAGCUCGCUGACUACUACUACCAUGCUGACAUCUUGUCCAAGGCUGUUCAGGAAGACGACCCCUUGACACGGAUGAAGCUGGUGGUGCAGUGGUACCUAUCCGGUUUCUAUAAGAAGCCCAAGGGCCUUAAGAAGCCCUACAACCCCAUUCUUGGCGAAGUGUUUCGCUGCUGUUGGAAGCACCCAGAGACGGGCAGCCGAACCUUCUACAUUGCUGAGCAGGUCUCUCAUCACCCGCCAAUUUCUUCCUUCUACGUGAGCAACCGACCAGAUGGCUUCUGCAUCAGUGGAACAAUUUUGGCAAAGUCAAAGUUCUAUGGCAACUCACUAUCGGCAAUUCUGGAAGGCACAGCGCAGUUGUCCUUUUUGACGAGAGGCGAGACGUACACAAUCACCAUGCCGUACGCUCACUGCAAGGGCAUCCUCAUGGGCACCCUUACCAUGGAGCUCGGAGGCAAGGUGAACAUCGUAUCGGAGAAGACGGGCUACCGCACCGAACUCGAGUUCAAACUCAAGCCAUUCCUAGGUGGGCCUGAGUUGUGCAACUUGGUGACGGGGAAGGUGAAGCUAGGCAAGGAGACCUUGUUUCUCAUCCAGGGUCAUUGGGAUGGGCAGAUUUUCCUGCGAGACAAGAGGACACAGGAGGAGCAGGUGCUGUGGCACCCAACCCAGGAAGUGAAGUCGAAACGGCUAAAACGAUCCACAGUGCCCUUGGAGAUUCAGCAAGAUUAUGAAUCCGAAAGGCUGUGGCAGCACGUGUCGGCAGCCAUAGUACGUGGGGACCAGGUGGCAGCCACUGAGGAGAAGACUAUCCUGGAAGAGGCGCAGCGCAGAAGCACCAAGGAGAGACAAGCACGCAUGGAAGCUUGGAUGCCCCGCUUCUUCAUCCAGGACCUGCUCACGGGUGACUACCUCUACAAGCACGCCGACUCCCGCCCAUGGGACCCUCGAAAUGACGUUGUUCAGUUUGAGCGGAACGGAGUGAUUCAGAGCAAGACUCGACAUCAGACACCCAUCGUGCCCUCGGGGGGCAGUCUCGUCAGCAUUGAGGGGAGCCCUCCUGAGAGUCAGGGUGGCCUGCGCAGGCGCAUCUUGCACUCGAGCCCGCGGCAGGUGGCUGCUCACCUCACUCAUCGCCACCAUCACCACCACAGGCACCAGCAGCAACAACCGGGCUCAGCUUCUGCGAGUUCCAAGAAAGAUAGAAAGAAGAAAGUCGCUGUUGGACAUCUCCACAGUGGCAGCUCCUCGGCUGAGCGAGGCGCCUGCUUCUCCUGUGAUUCCACUGACAGCGAAGCGCUGGCAGCAGAGGCAGGCAAAGGGGUAGCAGCACGGUUGGGUCUGCAGCCAAGCCGAGCAGUGCUGUCGGGCAGCUCCAUAUCUCAAUCCCUGGGUCCCGCCCUGGCUCCUCUGCAGCGCUCCCUGGAGGAGGCAAACACCACCCUGAACACGUUACAGCGACACCUUGAGCAUGUGCUGCUGCAGCAGCGGCAGCUUGAACACCGGCUAAGCCAGCGCAACGACGUCACACCCGUGGUCCUCGUUGUGUUUGUCCUGCUCGCAUUACAUCUUUUACUCUGGGGCUGGUUAACCUCCUGAUCGCGCUCGGCUGGCUAUGUUGUCUGACCUGCAAGGACAGGGAUAUUCUUUCCAGAUGUCUGCUUGUGAUUGCCAGUGUAGCAUGCUUUGCAUGCAGUGUAUGAUACUGGUAUUGGUACUGCAGUAGUACUGGUACCUUGUACACAGUGCUGUGAUCACCAGUGUAGCUGCCCCACAUGUGUAUGAUAUUGGUACCAGUGGCUUUGGUACUGCAGUGGUACCAAUUCUUGGUGGUACACAGUGCAUGGCACGAGUGUGGCUGCAGCAUUGUACCAGUAACCUUGAAAGUUCCAUAGCCAUCGUGCAUGCGACAACACUAAGCUAAGGAAGGCGAGUGUGGUAGACUUCCACACCCUCCUCUGCUUCGUAGAGCCGCGGAUACAGUGGGGGUACCAGUACACAGCUUGACGUCUGCUCUGGUCACACAGAUGCUGGCUAUGGAAUUUUUGAGGUGGACUGGGUCACUUUCUGCCUGUACAAAGGCUGAUGGAAGCUUAGGAAAAGGGGCAUUGGACCCGUAGUUUAUUUUGUACAUAGGAAUAGGGUUCUGCAAGUGUGGGUGUGGUAUAAUUGCAAGUGUAAGAGUAAGUGUAGAUCUUGAAUGUAGGCGCAUCGUGAACUUGGCUGUGUCACUGUACCCCUCAGUACUGCCAGGAAGAGUGUGUGGUUUCUCAGGGCAAAAGCUGCGUGGUGUGAAUAAGUAAGAGGAGACCUGUGCCCUGUGUUAUAUAAAUAUAAGGUGAGCUUUUCAAUUAUGGCAACUGCCCUUACGUACCAGCCGCUCUGUGCCAUCUGGUUCUGGACAUUGCUGUCAGAAGGACAGCUCUGCUCUAUGGUAAUAGCACCCUGAGUGCUUGGAAACCAGUGCUGACCACUUCAGUUGGGCCAUUGUACAUAAGGAAAGAAAUGCAACCAUCAGUGUUACUGCUGCAAUUAGCUACAUGACACCACUGCAUUUAGUGUGGCUCAGCUUUCUUUUGUUAGCUGGGGAAGAAAAUUGAACUUCUUGGCCAACCUCCUGCACAUGAUAAAACAGCUUUAGAUAUCAUGGGCAUUUUGAGUGUGCACCUGUGGCACCACUGUGUGGUUUAGUUGAAGCAAAAGGUCCUCCCUCCCCCUUUUUUCUCCAGUGUGAAUGAAAGUAUUUUAGGUGUUCAGAAAAUACGCUAAAGUUGAUGGGCUGAGUAUUCAUCACUGAAAGAACGCCCCAAGUGAAGAGAUUGGAUGGGGGAUUUAUGGAAGGUUCAUCACUACACAGCUUGUAACUUUAGUUCGGUGUGACAAAAAGAAAAGAAAAAGCGAACAAGCAAACGAAACGAAACAAAAUCGCUUGUCAAAACUGUCUUCACGCACAUGGAGGCACGUGUCUGAGAAGCAUUCUGUUAUGGGCUCAUCUUUUUUGUGUACCUGGAACUGCAAUGAAUGGCAUUGAAUACAUUCCGUAGAGGAAACAGAUUCUGCAAUUGUGACUGCACUUAGCACCUCUCUCUGUGGUCAAGGCACUGCUGCAUUUCUGGGGCUCUGCAACCAAAUUUGGAACGUGAGAAUGUCGCCCACCUUUUGUUCUCAAAUAUGCGAACUAUCAAACAAGUAUGGUGGUUGCGAGUCUCUUGGAAUGUCUUCACAGCAUACACGCUUGUUCAUGGUGGUACAGCAUGCACUCAUUGGCUUGCUCCUGGUGGUAGUAGGCUUAGUCCCAUGCUAAUUUGAUGAACAGCAGCAACUUGAAUAUGUUGCAUACUUAGUUGACUAUACUUAUCGGAUUAGUGUAAGAGCGGUAAUGAGAAAUUCAGCAUUAAUUCCUAGAUUCAAUUGUAUAACUGUGCUAUAGAGUGCUUUAAAAAAAGAAAACAGCGCAUUCCCUGCCCUAUGUGAGCUCAAUGUGCAAUGUAAAGUGAUUGCAGCAGCCAGGCUCAUCCUUAUGACGGCACUGUCAAAAGAAACUGUCGGUUGUGAUAAGGCCACAUAUUCUGGCUAGGGCCUGAAAGCAGCAUUGGUAGGGUCACUGUAGACUCUCAAAAAUGCACGAGAUUCGAACACGGAAUAGAGGUAGUUUUUUUAAGGGAGAGGGAGGGGGUAAUUCUUUACAUAAAUUAUGCUGCUUGUAAGCACACGGAGCGUGCAAUACCAAUACAGGUAGGCCUGAAGCUUCCUCAGAACAUGGUCAACACACUGACUAUAGAAAGGCUUUAAUAGAGCUCUUUCCAACACGCAUUUCUCUGUUACCUUUAAAUCACAGCACAAAGUAAGCUUAGUUUAUUUUUUCCUCAAUUUUUUUAGGAUGAUGUACCAUAUUUGCACGUAAACAAUGCAGGCACAACUGUAAUGUGAGAGGGGACUCUUGAUCUCUCAGAACAAGAAAAAAUAUUAUACAGUAGACUUCACUUAAUUCGAUUUUUCAGUUAAUUUGAUCCUGACCAGAGAUCCCAGCCAGUGCCUAUGCAUUUAUAUGAGCCCAUACUUUCGUUAUUUUGAUCCUAAGAUUAGCCUUUGCUGGAUAAUCUGAACCUGACCAGUCAGCAUGCACGUGCCCGACUCCCAGUGUCUGACUGACUCCCAGUGCCCGACUCCCAGUGGCAGUGUCUGCCUUGGCAGAGCUUAGACGACAGUGAACGUGGGACCACAUGCCACAGAACACAUUUUUGGCCCUCCCCAGGAAGAUUUUCAAACCAUAGCCGUAGAUCACAAUGUCUGGUUACGGUAUUUACCGGAUUCUAAUGCGCAUCCUUCUUUUUUUUUUCCAGAAAGUUGGUGCAAAAAUUGCUUGCGUGGUGCAGUCGAUACCAAACCAAAACCACCUUCGUGGCAUUCGGAUGCUUUACCGAAUAACACGGGCGUGGUAAAGCUAGAUGAUUUCAAAAUUGGCAGUGAAGCAGACUUUAAUAAAAAAGAACAAAUGUGGCCGUUGUGCAACACAUAUUAGACCCUUGCCCACUUUUUCUCAAGAAAAUGGGGUAUAUGUUAGAUUUCUACUUUGUCUAGGAGCUUUAAUGCCAUUUAUAGGCUAGUUUUCUACGUUAGACACAUAGAAAAUGGGUGUGCGUCUGAUUUGGGACAUGUAAUAAUCGAGCAAAUACUGCCAAAUGAAUUGGUGGUGUUUUGGCGUUUUUUCUGCAUCUUGUUCAAUUCGACCUGCCCAAUAUUUCGAUAAAUUUCGUCAAUUGCAUCAGGGUUGAAUUAACGAAAGUCGACUGUAUUACGAUUAUAAUGGGAAUAAUGUCGUAGUGAAAUGGGCAAUGACGUGUAGAAGUGGAUGGCCACAAGGGUUUAUGCAUUGUUACAGCUAACUGCCGUCGAAAAACAAAGUGAAAAGACAGCUGCUGACAUGCACCAAGGUUACUGGAAACGCAGGACUUCAGAAAUGCCCUUGACACUAUUGAACACGACAAAGCCUUUCAUAGAUUGCACGGUCUUCCACCGCAUGACUUCAAAGACCACUGGCUUGACGCGAUUGCACACCGGUGCCAGUUGCCUUGCUCGAAGUUGGGAUUUGUACACAGUGACCACAUUGGUGCAGUACUAACAGACUUCUAAAUCGGGAGAAGAAAGAUUUUGAAAUGCAUAGUGGCAACUCCUGGCAUUGGUGGCACGUGUGGGAGGGCUGCAUAUGCAGUGGCAGUUGUGGUGGUGCCUGUUGGUUUAGCUCAUUGCAGUUUGAAACGCUAAAGAAAAGAAAAUUUAAAAAAAACUUUAUAUUUGUACCAUGAACCUGAAUGUAACGCGAGGUGUGUUCUGAGGCCAGCAAUUCAGAAAAAAGAUUUUGUUGUGUUCGUGCAAAUAUGUUAAUAUCCCAGUUACACAGGGAACUUUCGAUCGUGAUUGAGUUUAUUGACAUCAAAUUACAUGAUCGUGUAUGGCUAUUUUGUGCUUGCUGCAGAAGGGAGCUGCAGAAGAGAAAUUCGAUCCCUAUCAGGCUUGAUCGGGAUCAAAAGUGCCCCGUGUGGCUGGGGUAUAAGUAUGAUUAUCUGUGCAUAACAAAAGAUCCUGUUCUGCUCUGAGGUGGAUCCAAUUUAUUGAUUUUGCCGUCCUUGAAAAGUCUUUUCCUUUCUACCUGAUCUGCCAGCCAUAUCUUCAUAGAUACAGAAUGAAUUCUGUAUUUUGUAAGGGCGUGUACUUUCUUAUUGAAGUUUACAGGUUUAAACAUGAACGUAAUGUGCAGUGCUUCGUGCUUCUUUAUGGCUUGAUUUUGUAGAAUCUGAGGAGACAGCUGGCACGUCUUUUUACCACUAAAGUAGCUAAAGCUCAGCAUGAUGGUCACUGUGACCAAACAAAUGCUGCAAAAAAGAUUUUCACUGAAACCAGCACAAAUAUAUGCAUUACUAUUAUGCAUGGUAACUUCACACUGCAAUCAUGCUUCUGUGCAAAACAUGCAAGGGGAAAACACCCCAUUUGCCAUUAACAGUUGAUGACUACGUACUUGUUUAAGGCAUGUUUGCUGCUAAUGAAGAAAUUACGUUUUAUAAAUUGUGUGGAGAAUAGAGCCCCAGUUCGGGCACAAAUGAGCCAAGCUGUGAACGAAGUUUCAGUGAGCGCAAUAGUUUUGAAUGAUAAACUAACACAUGGUCGUGUUCCUCAUAAGGGAUGGCAGGGUGACACACAAUGCUUAUUGAAAGAACUUGCAAGUGCAAUGGUCUUGUCGAGCAGGCUGUGGGCGGUAGCAGUUCGUGUGAUGCCAGUCAUGGCUGUGUACUUUGUGAAUGUAGACAAAGUAUUUGAAGUUUAGAGUUUGCAGAGUUAGGAGGUGACAUACAAUGAGCGUGCAAGAAACGAACUGGGAAGUGAAUGUUAUUGCUGAAUGAUGGUACUUGUAGCAACUGUACACUUCGUAGCACGUGCAGUGUCAGCUUUGACUGUUACUCUGUGCUUCACUGUUGUAUAUCUGUACUGCUAACUGCAACUGCAAGCUAUUCUCUCACUUAGGGAGGCCAUAGGAGUCUGAAAUUACAGAAUAUGCGCUAGCAUUCUAAAAAAGAAAUCUUCAGGUUCACAUAUGACUUUAGGAUCUUGGAACUUUAGCUCUGGAGCAUAGAACGGCACGUUGUGGCAUUUCGAGGAAUCACUUAUGUAUACGACUGGGCCGCUGGUUUUUGUGCUUUGGACACAAAUAUGUCAUUGCACAGAAUGUUGCACAUGCUCUUUUUUUUACAUGCUUGCACUUGUACUGAUGUGUUGCCAUGCAGUUGCAGCAUCCUGCUUGUGCGAGUUGCACGGAAAUGCAUUAGCACACACUGCUGACCCGUAGUUUCUAGAUACAAAUGCCUGUUAUGCCAUCCACUGCUGUUGUGCGAGGAGCAAGGUGUGCUGCAACCACAUUACAGCGUGAGAAAAUGGGCACAUUUUCAAAGCAGAAAGUAUGCUUCUGAUAGUGCAAAUAUAUAGUGUUAUCUCUCAACAAGCAGUUGAUCAACCUACAGGCAGUUGCCAUAGCUAGGCUACAGUUGAUGCGUGCUGGAAGGACGUGGUAAUUUAGAGGCCAACUGCAAUGAAUAUUUCAAUUUGGCUAAAUUGCCUACAAAUUGGUGUACAUUGAAGCGACUUUGGAAAUGCUGAAAAGCUUGCAACUGUAUAGCUUUCUUAUGAACAGCCUUUAAAUAGUACUUUAGGUUAUGACAUGUGGUUAGCUGAUAUGACAAAAGCCCGGAAGCAUGGCCUCCGAGAUUUUCAGCGUGCCGCUGGCACCGCCAAAUCUCUGAGGUCACACAAAGAAGCUGCACUGGUUCGCAACAUUCUGUUUAUACCUAUUGAUGCCUCCCUCCCCCCUUACUUUGGUAUCAAAAACCAACUAUUUCUAUUUCUUUUCAUGGGACAUCCACUCGUUAUUUGAAAUGUAAAAUUUUGCACGGAGUCUGAAACUACGCCUUUUACGCAGUUCAAAGCUUUGUUCCAGUUGGCCUCUUAAAUAUAGCUGUAGCUGGGAGCUCUUGAAGAAGAGAAGGCAGCUGGCCAUUUCACAUACAAUUGCUGUCAGCCUAUGCGUACGUAAACCUUGAUAAAGUGGUAUUUAUGUACAAUUACAUCCUAACUUAGCCGACUAGUUUGCAUAGCAUCUGAGAAAGUGGGACAAUUUUGGUAGUCUUUCAUCACUUGUCGAUUGUGGUUUUACAGAGCAGCGUACGCUGUGUGAGAUUUUGUUGAAAAGCUCGUUAAAUAAGGUCAUCUACUGCUAGUUGAUGUUGUCAAGCCCAAGUACUUAUCUUGCUUUGUCUGUCUCGAAGUACACUUUAAAAGAUGUCGAGCCUGUACCGUAGUUCAUCCUGAGUGGCAGUACAAAUAUCUACGACGCACUGCAUAUCACAGGGGCCUACCUGCAUAAAAGCACAUCUACAGAGGUCAAGAACAACUAAACUGUAGCUUCAAAGAAAAACUUGGGUCUGCUUUCCAUGGUUUACGUGAAAAGCUUCAGCAGGUUGAGAUCACAAAUCUCAAAGUACUAAGUCUCAGCUCGCAAACUUUAUGUAAUGUAGGGUGAUUCUCUGUGCAAAUGUUUGUAAAAAAUCCUCCUAUCCGUGCACACUACUUUUGACUGGAGGACACAGUGGCUCCCUUGUCGCAUAAUAGAUAGUGUGAAGAAACCGGAAAAUUAUCGCUGUUUUUAUACAGAAUAGGAGAGCGGUAAUAACCUUUAUUAAAGCUGACUUGCUUUUAUUUUAUGCCAGUUGUUUCAGUUUUUUGUAAUGCUUGAGAUCACUCUUGCUUUAGCACCGAAGCAAAGGCUCAAUGUCUUGUGCAGUGGAUAGUAACUCUCGUUUGCCCCUUUUUUGGUUGAAUGAGCACUUGAGCACCCGUAUUUUAAUUGGUGCUGAUGUCGCAUCAUGUGGUUGUGGCAAUUUUAUUUAUAACUGUCACGUUCAACAAAUUAAUUUGUUACGAGUCAAAUGUUGUUUUUUUAUACACAAUUGUUUAGAGCACUUGUAUUGCAAAUGAACUUCUGUUAUUCAUUCUAGAUUUGAUUUUGUUUGCAAGCCUGCUAUGGGGGGUGGCCUUCGAAAGAAAUUUGUUUAACAGUGCAUUGUGGCCAUUGCUGUUACUAUAGCUGCGCAGUUUUGCACGUUAAAAUGCAUUGAUAGCUCUUCAAGAUUGGGAGUGUUUGUAGAUGGUGAAGUCUUAUUACUAGCAUUCACUUUCUAAUUAUUCUUUUAAUAUACUGCUGUUUUUGCCUCCAAAACACUCGCCUCUAGCAUUGCAUCUUGCUUACACUCAGCUUACGUGCAUACGUAACCAAUCUUAACUCGACAGCAGUAAUAACUUACUGGAUUGUAGAUUGCCGAAUGCAAGAGCUUCUCUUUUGUUUAAGUUGAUCUUAUAUCGUCUUUAUCUUUCAGGUGAGAAUUCUCAAUUCACUUCUUGUGCCUCAAUGUUAACCUCAUAGGUAGGACACCUUUAGAGGUAUGAGGAGUGGAUGUGUACCAUAUAUACUUUGCAGAUGAUGGAACGGCGUUGCAUCACGAAAAUGUGUGUGGUUUUGGGAUGGUAAGAGGGCACAGUGUACGCAUCUUUCGCUUCUUUUAUUCACUGCAGCCUGAAAUGCUCCUAGAGCCUGCAGCUUGUACUUGAAUGUAUUUAAGCUUUUGUUCAUGUGAUAUGGGAACUACUACACAACUUGUGCUCUUUGUAUGCAGCUUGGUUGCUGUCGGAAAUUGUGGGAAGCCUCACAUUGCUAGUCUUUCGCAAAGUGGCAUUUCUGUGCUGAGUGAAUACAUUAUUAUGCAUGUAUGCUUUUGUUUUUGGGCUUAUACUCUGCAGAUUGUAAAUAUUUUUAUGUCCGUAUACGUACUGCUGUUCUUUUGUAUCUUGUUGCUUGGAUUAUUCUCAACCAUGCUGGCAGCUAGCAUUCACUUGGACAAGGAAAAGAAUGCCUGCCGUACUGUACUAUUUGAAGUGGUUCACUAAUGUGUACCUCUGUGUAUAGUUCGUAAAAUGUGUUGCACUCUUCCAUAGAUGCACAUUUCAGUAUGUAUGUCGCAUCCUUAAUUGUGCCAUGAUUUUGCAGUAUUUGACAUGCACCUUCGCAUCUGUUACCUGAAUUUAGUUGCUGGCAUUAUGAGCAGACGUGCAUUUAUUUUAAUUUUAUCUUUCCGCUGUUUACGCUGUGGUCGCAUACCACAGCAGCAUGUUUGUCAAGAGUGAAGAUGAAUUGUUGAACUUGGGAUUUAAGAUUUUUACAUGCGACUUGUGGAGCUGAUGGGGUCGACGACGUUCCUUCAUGGUGAAGCUGUGUCGUACCGUUGUACACUUGUCGAGUUGUUUUUAUAGAGCUGGUUGCUGUAGCAUGUAAAUAAAGAAAAAGUUACGAACA
rnacentral:misc_RNA from 1 species